AUAACAAUGUUUGGCAUUUAGUGAAUAUUCCCUAUUCUGCUCUGUGUCAGUGUGUAUCAGGGAUCCUUAGGAUAGGUGUCAAUCCAUAUCUGCCAAGUGACACUAUGUAGGGGAAACAGUCUCUAUUCUGCUCUGUGUCAGUGUGUAUCAAGAAUCCUUAGGACAGGUGUCAAUCCAUAUCUGCCAAGUGACACUAUGUAGGGGGAACAGUCCCUAUUCUGCUCUGUGUCAGUGUGUAUCAGGACAGGUGUCAAUCCAUAUCUGCCAAGUGACCCUAUGUAGGAGGAACAGUCUCUAUUCUGCUCUGUGUCAG